UACGGGGGGGGCAAGCGUUGUUCGGAAUUAUUGGGCGUAAAGGGCGCGUAGGCGGUGCGGCAAGUCUUCUGUGAAAUCUCCGGGCUUAACUCGGAACCUGCAGGGGAACUGCCGCGCUUGAGUGUGGGAGAGGUGAGUGGAAUUCCCGGUGUAGCGGUGAAAUGCGUAGAUAUCAGGAGGAACACCUGUGGCGAAAGCGGCGCACUGGACCACAACUGACGCUGAGGCGCGAAAGCUAGGGGAGCAAACAGG
rnacentral:rRNA from 1 species